GAUGCCUCUCACGCGGCGUUACCCCGUGAACCUCCCCAGGGCCGGAAGGCAGCAAGGAUAAGCGGGCUCUUGCGGGUGCGUGGGAGGCCCUUUU
rnacentral:SRP_RNA from 1 species